GCCUGGGAUAGCUCAGUUGGUGGAGCAUGAGACUCUUAAUCUCAAGGUCGGGAGUUUCUCUUGACUACAGGGAAACACUGGGCA